rnacentral:lncRNA from 1 species
GCAGCUGCUUGGGUGAGACGAGAUGGCAUGAUGUGAAUGGCUCCAGUGUGAAGAAGGCUGCUCCGCCACCUCAUACUGCACCCAGUGCCCAUUGAGUAGCGCUGUCACUUUAAUGACUUCAUGCCAAAGCAGCGCUUUCCUUCUCCCUCGGUUAAUACAUGGCAGGAUCAGAGUGGCAUUAGAGAACAAGCCUGGGUGGCUUGGACAGCAGAAAAGGGGAAGAAAUGAAAGGGACUGCAACCUGGAUGCUGUCUGAUUUGAGGGAGUGAGAUUGGAAACUUCUUGUCCAGUGAAUAGAAACCGGCCUUUCAGUCCCAAGGAACAUCUCAAACUCACCCACCUUUGCAGAAACCAGAGGCAAAGAACUUUGCUUUAAAAAAAAAGUUGUUUUCUUUUUGGCUUGUUUGCUUUUUCCUGAAAAUUUCUCCUGUCUAGAACUGGGCGUCUUUUAUCAUCAAAUUUGGAUGGCUUUGAAGUUGAUUUUGUAGAGUAGUGAGAGUUGUUUAAAUUUGGGUUGUGCCUUGAGUCAUUAAACUUACACCAAAUUUGCUGCCUGAAGAGGAAUUCUAAUAGUGUUUUCUAUACCAACAAUAAUGUUCUCAGUUUUUUUUAUAAAUUAAGAAAUAUUUUAUAAGAAUUGAAAGACACUUUUGUGAAACUCCAAUCUUUUUUCCUCUAAAUUCUGUGGGAGGUGUUAAAAGUUAAUUGUGGAAAAAAUAUUCAACAUUACUUCCUAUCUUGGUGAAAAUGAAGACUGAACUUGGAUUUCAAGGCUGAGCAGAAGUACUUUGCAACAGCCACCUGACUCUUGGCUUUAGUCCAGUUGGAUACAGUUGAUACCUGUAAACAAAUCCUUGAAUCCAGUGACUGCUGAGAGAUCCAAGAAUGCCAGUCAAGAAGAAAGAUACUGAUCGAGCUUUAAGACUGUUGGAAGAAUAUUGCAGAAAAUUAAGGAAACCGGAGGAGCAGCUGCUGAAGAAAGCUGUCAAAAAAGUGAUGGGAAUCUUUAAGAGCUCCUUAUUUCAGGCUUUACUGGGUAUGUAUUAUAAAAAAAAAAACCCAACCUUAUGAUAUUUUCAUGAUCAGAAUUGGGCUUAAAUAUUGAA